GGAUUGGCGCAAUGGUAGCGCGUGGUCAGUCUUACGACAACCUUGGUCGUUGACCUUUAUCUAACAUGAAAUUAAAGGCUCUCCUAAAUUGAUCUUGCCUGAUCAUGUCGAAAAGCCAAGGUUGAGGGUUCGAGUCCCUUGUUCG